rnacentral:rRNA from 1 species
UACGUAGGGUGCAAGCGUUAAUCGGAAUUACUGGGCGUAAAGCGUGCGCAGGCGGUUAUGCAAGACAGAUGUGAAAUCCCCGGGCUCAACCUGGGAACUGCAUUUGUGACUGCAUGGCUAGAGUACGGUAGAGGGGGAUGGAAUUCCGCGUGUAGCAGUGAAAUGCGUAGAUAUGCGGAGGAACACCGAUGGCGAAGGCAAUCCCCUGGUCCUGUACUGACGCUCAUGCACGAAAGCGUGGGGAGCAAACAGG